CAUAUACUCCCUCCGUCCCAAAAUUCUUGUCUUUGAUUUGUCUAGAUACGGAUGUAUCUAACACUAAAACGUAACUAGAUAUAUCCGUAUUUAGACAAAUUUAAGACAAGAAUUUUGGGACGGAGGGAGUAUAUA
rnacentral:pre_miRNA from 1 species